GCAGGGGGUUGGACUAGAUGGCCCAUGUGGUCUCUUCCAACUCUUCUAUUCUAUGAUUCUAUGAUUCUAUGAAGGAGAGCACCCACUCUAUCUAUCCAUCCACUCAUCUAUCCAUCCACUCACCCACUAAUAAUAAACACCUACACAGGCUAGAAUCAGCCAUGCACUGAGGCUACAAGGCCAUUCAGUGCUCAUCCACCUCCCCAAUCCCUACAUUCACACUUGGCCUCCAAAAACACAAAUACAAUAAUAACAAUGACAGCAACAACAAUAAGAAUGAACACCAUCACAGGCAGGAAGCAACCAGGCACUAAGGCUGAGAGGCCAGUCAGUGCUACACUGACCCUCCAAAAAAAAAAACAAAAAAACAAUACAGUACAUCUAACUUAUCCAACCUUCAUGACCACUACAACAACAACCACAACAACAACAAUAAUAAUAAACACCUACACAGGCAAAACAAAAAAAAGGACUAUUGUACCACAAUAAAAAUAUAAACCGCACUCAGCAGAAUCAGACAUUACAACUAACAACAAACCAAAGACAACAGGGAUCUCAACCAAUUAUCAAUCAACACAAAAAUUGAAGGUAACAGACUUCAAAUACUACUACUAAUGUGAGUAUAAAGAAGGUGGAGGUCACAGCAUAAAUACAACCUAAUGUAGACUGACCAACACCACCAGACUCAGCCACAGCAACGCGUGGCCCGGGCACAGCUAGUUAUCAUAUAAGAUGUAACCAUGGCAAUUCAUGAGGACUCCUAUUGCCAUAACUAGAUGCUGUGAAAGGACCUCUGAUUUGGAGCAGGCCAUGUAAGGCAAAACUCAGUGCCAUAAAUAUGUAUUGUUGUCUGUUGUAAAGAGUACAUGGAUGUAUUGUCUUUCCAUUUGGUUUAUUUUAAUGGGAUGAGUGCCAUGUAAUACCUAUCUGUACCCAUCAUAAUAUAGGUUAUCUUUAUCCAGGUGCAAAAUGAAACCAUUCCUUAGUAGUCCUUAUCUGAAUUAGAAUUAUGGGUAAAGUAUCUGGUCCUUUUUUGCAAGUGAAUGUUGUUGAGGUAUAAUUCUUCACAUUGGCUGGUUGCUCCCAGCGAGAUGGUUAUUUAACAAAAACACUCCACCUUACUGAAUUAUCCACACAUACUGUACCUCAUCUUGCUUACUUCUCCAUGAAAUGUCAGAAGUACCUCCUACCGUGCUAUGUCGGCAACUCCUGCAAUACUGAUUAAAUUUCUAUAUAAUAUCAAAUUGCUGAGUUCUGCGAACCAUAAAUUAUAAAAUCUGCCUUGUACUUCAUAAGCCGCCUCCUAAAUGUGCAUUUUUCGGCUUAGCGAGGUCGAGUUAUCUUUUUAUUUACAGGUAAAAAAGCGUAUCCCUGUGUUUUAAGCUUUAAAAUCUAGAAUAGUUUUAAAACUGUAUUUCUUUUAAUGAAAGAAGUAAACAGAACAAUGUUGUCACCUAUUAUUGUGUUUCAAGUCGCUUGAGGGAGGAAAAUUACAUUGCUGCAUUUGAAUGCAGUGUCUCUGGUGAAAGAAAGAGUAGAAUAUGAAGAAUAUGUAUAGAAGAGAGUCCUUACUUAGAUUCUAUCUGCUGUGAAAUAUGAUCUGUAGAACUGUAAUCAGGAGCUGAGCAUUAUAGUAGAUAUUGCUGCAUACGAGGAGAUAAGUAUUAAAAGGGCUUGUGGUCAUUUCACACAUCAAAUGAAUAUGUGUGGUCUCUCUAACCCAGGCUGCACAUUUUAAAUCACAUUCACCGCUACUGACCUUUUGGCCCCAGACACUAAGAGCGUAAUGUGAACAGUCCAUUCCUGUUAGUUUAAAGGCUGUGGCUGAAACUUCCUAUGCAGAGCGUUCACUCUUGCUCGCUCCCUUUCUUUCCUUCAGUCUCCCUCUCCCUCCCUCUCUUUCUCCCCAUCUCCCUCCCCCCUUCUCUUUUUAAUUAGCAGGGAGGGGUCAAUAGAAAUAGAAACUGAAUUUUCCUUCAAUGUGCUUUUAUAGCUCUAUUCUCCAUAUGACCUGUAUUAGCAGGAUAGAUGUAUGCUCACCUAGUAGUUUAAAGGCACCAUAGAGCAGGAGAGCAUGGCUGGC
ensembl:lncRNA